CUCCUGCCUGGGACAAGCGGAGCUGACUCAUUCUGAAGAUGACUCUGCAAGCAUGGAGUUCAUUCCAGAGGAGGUUAGAAUCACUCAGCAUGAAGAGAGGGUGUAACAGGAUGUUGUCUCUGCUGAGGAAGUGGGGCUGCCACCCGAUGGAUUGGAUGGAUUGUCGGUCAUCCCCGCAGGAGAGGCUGGGCCAGGUUGUGGUGCGUCCAACCCCCAGCCCUCUGGGCAGACCGGUUGUGAUCUAAGUCAUUUCAAGGGUUUCUCAAUGGACCGAUUGCCAGAGGUUGGGGUGUCAAGAAUUUGGGGUAUCAAGGUUAAGUACAAAACAUGGAUCUUUGUCUGACAAGACAGGCUGGCCGCUGACUGUUAAAUACUUCCCCACAAAAGGGACAAGCCCGGAGCCAGGUUACCGGCCCACACCGCAAGACAGGCUUUCUUUUAGGAAAUGGACAAAGCUCUAUGACCAGAACAAGCACUUUGGGGAAUUUAAAUUUGCUUUCCCUGACACGACUCCACUUUCAUCACUACCCCUGAACUUAAGGGGCAUCCAAACCUCAGUCUCAGCAGGUGCAGCUGUGUCACUGGGAUGGACACAGGAAGCAAUGUGGGGUCUUUGCUGCCAGUGAGCUCCCGGUCUAGGAGAAGAGAGAGGAAGCAUCUUUAUCUGUGUUAUCCCAGAGAUGGGUUUUCACCAUUGUCUCGUCUGGUCUUGAACGCCUGAGCUCAAGCCAUUCGCCUGCCUCGGCCUCUCAAAGUGCUGGGAUUACAGGCAUAAGCCACCAUGCCUGGCCUCAAAAGAAUUAAAACGGUUAAUGAGUUAAAACAAGAUUAAGUCUGUACAUUAUAUAAUGUAGAAGCUUCUGUGGAAAACUCCCCAGCCCUAUGUGGACGACAUCACAUCUGAUUUAUCCUUGUGGUCUACACCGCUGGGUGCUCAGCCUUCUCCUGAGAGAUGCUGUGAAACUUCUCUACCACCUGGAACAGGAGAAGGGAGGCCCAUGUGGGGGCAGAGACCUCUGUCCAGAGUCCAGUGGCAGCUGGUAAGGAUUUUUCAUGCAAGGAAUAGCUUAGAAGAGACAACAGUUAUUGGCUGAUUUUGAUGAAGGAUUAAAAUUAAAAUAUCUCAGCCACUUCCUACUCAAUGUAUCCUAUACAUUUUCUUGUUAAUCUAACAUGCAGUUUACUUUCUGGGUGAUAGCUCAUUAGUUCAGAGGAGAAUUGCUAGUUAUGGGAGAUACUACUUCCUGUUGAGUAGGGCAACUAGCUCUGCGAUAGCUUUUAUUGGACUGCUCAUAUUUUGAAAUACAAUGUUGUUUUACUAAUCGUUGUUUAUUCAACAUCCUUGAACACUGGCUUUAUGUGAGAUAAACUUAAGAAUCAGGGUUUAAUCAUAGUUUUCUUAGUUGUCAAUUCCAAUUCAAGCUGAGUCCAGGAAGAGGCUCCGCUGCUUCCAAAUGCUAGCACACUGCCCUCUUGUGGGAGACCCUGAACACUGCAGAGCUUUACACUUCGAAUCUCAUCUAGUGAAUCUAAUUUCAUUUCCCCGAAGCCAAACAUAUCCUUAGGCAGCAAAUAUAAAAUAUGUUUUACUUUACAAAGUCUGUUAGCCCUUCAUAGCUCCUUCGUAAUGCAUAAAUCUGUAAAACGUUUGCUUGGUGUCAAUUACUUAAUUCAAAUAAGGAAUUCCUGUACAAUCUCUUCAUGGUUAUUAUGGUGAAAGCUGGUUGGUGCUCUAGAACUGAAUAUGUGCAGAGAAUUGUUAAACUCAAAAGCCAGUUUCCCAUCUCACCUCUGGAAGCCUCAAUUCGUCAUGUUUCAAAUGGAGAUGGCCUGAGGGCAUUUCAUAGGGAAAUGGCUGGAUCGGUUUAGGAGCCCAAACGCUGCUAGAAUUUUGUUUUUUCUGGAAUGCCUUAUGAAAUCGCCUUCUUCUUUGAUACAGUUAAAAUAGGCUGUUAUUAGAGCUA
rnacentral:lncRNA from 1 species